AAAAAUCAAGCAUCUCAUGUUCAUCUUCAUCCCAUGAGCCAUAUCCUCCCUCCGGAUCACAUCUCCCAGCUUGCUCCCAACCAUUUCCAUCCAGCAACGUCCCACGCAGCUAACCCGGAUAAGUUCCAACCUCAAAUCACAGCUUCCGAGAUCUUCCCUCAGCGAAACAAAUCUUGGGAGCUCGUCUUCAUCACCCAUCGAACUCAGGAUCAUCCUCCUAGCAUUCCGG
rnacentral:lncRNA from 1 species